UUCCUGGUGGCUCAGAUGGUCAAGGAUCUGCUUUCAAUGCAGGAGACCCAGGGUCGAUCCCUGAUCAGGAAG
rnacentral:tRNA from 1 species